GAUGAACGCUAGCGGUGUGCUUAAUGCAUGCAAGUCGAACGGGAACCAUGAUUCGUCGUGGGGAGAGUGGCAAACGGGUGAGUAACACGUUGGUGACCUGCCCCAGAGAGGGGGAUAACCACUGGAAACGGUGGAUAAUACCCCAGAUGUUAAUGUGUUUAGAAAACAAUAACUGAAGCUUAGGCGCUCUGGGAGGGGCCAGCGGCCCAUCAGCUAGUUGGUAGGGUAACGGCCUACCAAGGCGAAGACGGGUAGGAGGCGUGAGAGCGUGACCUCCCACACUGGUACUGAGACACGGACCAGAUACCUGCGGGUAGCAGCAGCAAGGAAUAUUGCCCAAUGGACGGAAGUCUGAGGCAGCAACACCGCGUGGAGGACGACAGCCUUCGGGUUA
rnacentral:rRNA from 1 species